CCCUUAGAUGUCCUGGGCCGCACGCGCGCUACACUGAGUGUCUGAGAUAUGAGGCAUGCCUGGUCCGGCAAGGUCUAGGUAAUCACGAAAAGACACAUCAUGCUUGGGAUAGAUUAUUGCAAAUAUUAAUCUUGAACGAGGAAUUCCUAGUAAGCGCAAGUCAACAGCUUGCGUUGAUUACGUCCCUGCCCUUUGUACACACCGCCCGUCGCUACUACUGAUUGGAUGUUUAAGCGAGGUUCUCGAACUGCUAGCGACUUAGCUUCGGUGAGGUCGCAGUGUGGGAAGUGAACCUAGCUUUGGUGUCUAGAGGAAGUAAAAGUCGUAACA
rnacentral:rRNA from 1 species